GCAGUCGAGCGGAACGAGUUAUCUGAGCCUUCGGGUGGAGAUAACGGCGUCGAGCGGCGGACGGGUGAGUAAUGCCUGGGAAAUUGCCCUGAUGUGGGGGAUAACCAUUGGAAACGAUGGCUAAUACCGCAUAAUAGCUUCGGCUCAAAGAGGGGGACCUUCGGGCCUCUCGCGUCAGGAUAUGCCCAGGUGGGAUUAGCUAGUUGGUGAGGUAAUGGCUCACCAAGGCGACGAUCCCUAGCUGGUCUGAGAGGAUGAUCAGCCACACUGGAACUGAGACACGGUCCAGACUCCUACGGGAGGCAGCAGUGGGGAAUAUUGCACAAUGGGCGCAAGCCUGAUGCAGCCAUGCCGCGUGUAUGAAGAAGGCCUUCGGGUUGUAAAGUACUUUCAGCAGUGAGGAAGGUGGUGUCGUUAAUAGCGGCAUCAUUUGACGUUAGCUGCAGAAGAAGCACCGGCUAACUCCGUGCCAGCAGCCGCGGUAAUACGGAGGGUGCGAGCGUUAAUCGGAAUUACUGGGCGUAAAGCGCAUGCAGGUGGUUUGUUAAGUCAGAUGUGAAAGCCCGGGGCUCAACCUCGGAAUUGCAUUUGAAACUGGCAGACUAGAGUACUGUAGAGGGGGGUAGAAUUUCAGGUGUAGCGGUGAAAUGCGUAGAGAUCUGAAGGAAUACCGGUGGCGAAGGCGGCCCCCUGGACAGAUACUGACACUCAGAUGCGAAAGCGUGGGGAGCAAACAGGAUUAGAUACCCUGGUAGUCCACGCCGUAAACGAUGUCUACUUGGAGGUUGUGGCCUUGAGCCGUGGCUUUCGGAGCUAACGCGUUAAGUAGACCGCCUGGGGAGUACGGUCGCAAGAUUAAAACUCAAAUGAAUUGACGGGGGCCCGCACAAGCGGUGGAGCAUGUGGUUUAAUUCGAUGCAACGCGAAGAACCCUUACCUACUCUUGACAUCCUCAGA
rnacentral:rRNA from 1 species